rnacentral:rRNA from 1 species
GAGUUUGAUCAUGGCUCAGAUUGAACGCUGGCGGCAUGCCUUACACAUGCAAGUCGAACGGUAACAGGUCUUCGGAUGCUGACGAGUGGCGAACGGGUGAGUAAUACAUCGGAACGUGGCCCGAUCGUGGGGGGAUAACGAAGCGAAAGCUUUGCUAAUACCGCAUAGGAUCUACGGAUGAAAGCAGGGGACCGCAAGGCCUUGCGCGAACGGAGCGGCCGAUGGCAGAUUAGGUAGUUAGGUGGGAUAAAAAGCUUACCAAGCCGACGAUCUGUAGCUGGUCUGAGAGGACGACCAGCCACACUGGGACUGAGACACGGCCC